UUUGCGGGCCAUUGCUCAUACCAUAGUACAUACCAGCGUCUCAACCUGUGUUUCCUCAGAUGUCUCGUUUCCUGCUUAGUCCCACGUGUCUCUCAGUGUUAUGUGGAUUACACCCUAUUGUUUGGAUAUAUGGACUCUCACCUGUUUAACUGUUUGGAUUACUGUUUUAACAUUUUUGGACUGCCAACUUCACCACACCUAGUGAUGGCUGACAGAUUCCUGUCUCUGCAUGCUGUGACUGUCAAAUAAAAAGAGGCAAAACACCAAAAGAUGUCUUCACGACCCAAACCAAAUAGACCCAAGGACUAAAUGGACCCAAUUCAAAAUGUGGUUGACCCGGACGGACUCAAACAGAGAACACAAACACUGGCAGCAGCAGUAUGAUGGGCCACCAAUUAGCAAGCAGCAAAGGUCAAAAAGAGUAAUGGGACAUCAUUUUCGCUACACCGCACACUCUGUCUUGGGUCGGACCUCGGUUACCAAGAAUCACGUGGACCUGUGAAGACAGCUAACGCUUAAACCAGUUCCAGUCAAGUCUUGUAUUUUUACUUUUACUGUAAUGGAAAACAGACGUAAUCUAAUUCUUAUAUAAAUGACUUUUCACAUAAACAUAAUAAAGGUUUAAUGCAGCAGUGGUGACAUAUUUGCCAGUGCUGCCGUUGUCGAUGGAA